rnacentral:rRNA from 1 species
UAAGCGGAGGAAAAGAAACUAACAAGGAUUCCCCUAGUAACUGCGAGUGAAGCGGGAAAAGCUCAAAUUUAAAAUCUGGUGGUCUUUGNNCAUCCGAGUUGUAAUUUAGAGAAGCGUCNUUCCGCGCUGGACCGUGCACAAGUCUCCUGGAAUGGAGCGUCAUAGAGGGUGAGAAUCCCGUCNNGGCACGGACACGCCAGGGCUUUUGUGAUGCGCUCUCGAAGAGUCGAGUUGUUUGGGAAUGCAGCUCAAAAUGGGUGGUGAACUCCAUCUAAAGCUAAAUAUUGGCGAGAGACCGAUAGCGAACAAGUACCGCGAGGGAAAGAUGAAAAGCACUUUGGAAAGAGAGUGAAACAGUACGUGAAAUUGUUGAAAGGGAAACGCUUGAAGUCAGUCGCGUCGACCGAGACUCAGCCUCGCCUUGGCUUGGUGUAAUUCUCGGCUGACGGGUCAGCAUCAAUUUUGCCUCUUGGAUAAUGGCGAGGGAAAUGUGACACCUUUACGGUGUGUUAUAGUCUCUCGUCGCAUGCAAGGGUUGGGAUUGAGGAACUCAGCAUGCGCCUUCGGGUGUCGGGGUUACGCCCACGAUACGUGCUUAGGAUGUUGGCGUAAUGGCUUUAAACGACC